ACUGAAGCUAUUCAUAUAUUAUACUUGCUAAGGACGUCAAAACGCAAAAUCCCAUCUAAUCCAUCCCUACUCCAAAUUUAAAGCUGAUGCAAAAACUAAGUUUUAGUAUUUCAAAUAUCAGUCCCUCCUUAUAUAAAUGUUGAGAACGGAACUACAUCAUGAAAGUAAAAAAAAAAAAAACAAUUGAUAAUAAAUCAUCCAACUACCUUGGAGA
rnacentral:lncRNA from 1 species